rnacentral:lncRNA from 1 species
CCCAAUAUUUAUAAUUUGUGUAAGUACACUCAAGUGGACUCCCCCUAACGGACAGAUACAGAGAUAGUAUCCUGAAAGAUCUUGGGAUUACAUUCGUCAAAUCAAAUAUCUUUAGCAGUCGCAAGAAGUAAACAAAUCAAGGUUUCUAUGUACUUCCUGCCUUGCCUGACCCUAAGCUCUUCGUUUCAUGUCUUACUUUUGUUCUAACGAGAACUCUAAGAUGAGGGAGUU